GUAGUCCACGCCGUAAACGAUGGAUACUAGCUGUUGGGGGCAACUUCAGUGGCUAAGCGAAAGUGAUAAGUAUCCCACCUGGGGAGUACGUUCGCAAGAAUGAAACUCAAAGGAAUUGACGGGGGCCCGCACAAGCGGUGGAGCAUGUGGUUUAAUUCGAUGAUACGCGAGGAACCUUACCAAGGCUUAAAUGUAGAUUGACCGUUUUGGAAACAGAACUUUCGCAAGACAAUUUACAAGGUGCUGCAUGGUUGUCGUCAGCUCGUGCCGUGAGGUGUCAGGUUAAGUCCUAUAACGAGCGCAACCCCUGUUGUUAGUUGCCAGCGAGUCAUGUCGGGAACUCUAACAAGACUGCCAGUGAUAUACUGGA
rnacentral:rRNA from 1 species